rnacentral:rRNA from 1 species
CCGCUGUAAACGAUGAGUGCUAAGUGUUAGGGGGUUUCCGCCCCUUAGUGUUGCAGCUAACGCAUUAAGCACUCCGCCUGGGGAGUACGGUCGCAAGACUGAAACUCAAAGGAAUUGACGGGGGCCCGCACAAGCGGUGGAGCAUGUGGUUUAAUUAGAAGCAACGCGAAGAACCUUACCAGGUCUUGACAUCCUCUGACAAUCCUAGAGAUAGGACGUCCCCUUCGGGGGCAGAGUGACAGGUGGUGCAUGGUUGUCGUCAGCUCGUGUCGUGAGAUGUUGGGUUAAGUCCCGCAACGAGCGCAACCCUUGAUCUUAGUUGCCAGCAUUCAGUUGGGCACUCUAAGGUGACUGCCGGUGACAAACCGGAGGAAGGUGGGGAUGACGUCAAAUCAUCAUGCCCCUUAUGACCUGGGCUACACACGUGCUACAAUGGACAGAACAAAGGGCAGCGAAACCGCGAGGUUAAGCCAAUCCCACAAAUCUGUUCUCAGUUCGGAUCGCAGUCUGCAACUCGACUGCGUGAAGCUGGAAUCGCUAGUAAUCGCGGAUCAGCAUGCCGCGGUGAAUACGUUCCCGGGCCUUGUACACACCGCCCGUCACACCACGAGAGUUUGUAACACCCGAAGUCGGUGAGGUAACCUUUUAGGAGCCAGCCGCCCGAAGGUGAACAAGAUUUUC